rnacentral:rRNA from 1 species
CACGUAGGGGGCAAGCGUUGUCCGGAUUUAUUGGGCGUAAAGAGCUCGUAGGCGGUUCGCUAAGUCGGGUGUGAAACCUCCAGGCUCAACCUGGAGACGCCACCUGAUACUGGUGUGACUCGAGUCCGGUAGGGGAGCGUGGAAUUCCUGGUGUAGCGGUGAAAUGCGCAGAUAUCAGGAGGAACACCGGUGGCGAAGGCGGGUCUCUGGGCCACUACUGACGCUGAGGAGCGAAAGCGUGGGGAGCGAACAGG